UACGUAGGGGGCUAGCGUUAUCCGGAAUUACUGGGCGUAAAGGGUGCGUAGGCGGUCUUUCAAGCCAGAAGUGAAAGGCUACGGCUCAACCGUAGUAAGCUUUUGGAACUGUGAGACUUGAGUGCAGGAGAGGAGAGUGGAAUUCCUAGUGUAGCGGUGAAAUGCGUAGAUAUUAGGAGGAACACCAGUAGCGAAGGCGGCUCUCUGGACUGUAACUGACGCUGAGGCACGAAAGCGUGGGGAGCAAACAGGAUUAGAUACCCUGGUAGU
rnacentral:rRNA from 1 species